rnacentral:rRNA from 1 species
GACGAACGCUGGCGGCGUGCUUAACACAUGCAAGUCGAACGGAAAGGCCCUGCUUUUGUGGGGUGCUCGAGUGGCGAACGGGUGAGUAACACGUGAGUAACCUGCCCUUGACUUUGGGAUAACUUCAGGAAACUGGGGCUAAUACCGGAUAGGAGCUCCUGCUGCAUGGUGGGGGUUGGAAAGUUUCGGCGGUUGGGGAUGGUCUCGCGGCUUAUCAGCUUGUUGGUGGGGUAGUGGCUUACCAAGGCUUUGACGGGUAGCCGGCCUGAGAGGGUGACCGGCCACAUUGGUACUGAGGUACGGCCCAGACUCCUACGUGAGGCAGCAGUGGGGAAUAUUGCACAAUGGGCGGAAGCCUGAUGCAGCAACGCCGCGUGCGUGAUGACGGCCUUCGGGUUGUAAACCGCUUUCGCCUGUGACGAAGCGUGAGUGACGGUAAUGGGUAAAGAAGCACCGGCUAACUACGUG